rnacentral:rRNA from 1 species
GACGAACGCUGGCGGCGUGCUUAACACAUGCAAGUCGAACGGAAAGGCCCUGCUUUUGUGGGGUGCUCGAGUGGCGAACGGGUGAGUAACACGUGAGUAACCUGCCCUUGACUUUGGGAUAACUUCAGGAAACUGGGGCUAAUACCGGAUAGGAGCUCCUGCUGCAUGGUGGGGGUUGGAAAGUUUCGGCGGUUGGGGAUGGACUCGCGGCUUAUCAGCUUGUGGGUGGGGUAGUGGUUUACCAAGGCUUUGACGGGUAGCCGGCCUGAGAGGGUGACCGGCCACAUUGGGACUGAGAUACGGCCCAGACUCCUACGGGGGACAGCAGGGGAAAAUAUUGCACAAUGGGCGGAAGCCUGAUGCAGCAACGCCGCGUGCGGGAUGGCGGCCUUCGGGUUGUAAACCGCUUUCGCCUGUGACGAAGCGUGAGUGACGGUAAUGGGUAAAGAAGCACCGGCUAACUUCGUG